UACGGAGGGGGCUAGCGUUGUUCGGAAUUACUGGGCGUAAAGCGCACGUAGGCGGCUUACUAAGUCAGGGGUGAAAUCCUGGAGCUCAACUCCAGAACUGCCUUUGAUACUGGUGAGCUUGAGUCCGGGAGAGGUGAGUGGAACUGCGAGUGUAGAGGUGAAAUUCGUAGAUAUUCGCAAGAACACCAGUGGCGAAGGCGGCUCACUGGCCCGGUACUGACGCUGAGGUGCGAAAGCGUGGGGAGCAAACAGG
rnacentral:rRNA from 1 species